rnacentral:rRNA from 1 species
AACGAACGCUGGCGGCAGGCUUAACACAUGCAAGUCGAACGGAUCCUUCGGGAUUAGUGGCAGACGGGUGAGUAACGCGUGGGAACGUACCCUUUGCCACGGAAUAACUCAGGGAAACUUGAGCUAAUACCGUAUGUGCCCUACGGGGGAAAGAUUUAUCGGCAAAGGAUCGGCCCGCGUUGGAUUAGCUAGUUGGUGGGGUAAUGGCCUACCAAGGCGACGAUCCAUAGCUGGUCUGAGAGGAUGAUCAGCCACACUGGGACUGAGACACGGCCCAGACUCCUACGGGAGGCAGCAGUGGGGAAUAUUGGACAAUGGGCGCAAGCCUGAUCCAGCCAUGCCGCGUGAGUGAUGAAGGUCUUAGGAUUGUAAAGCUCUUUCACCGGUGAAGAUAAUGACGGUAGCCGGAGAAGAAGCCCCGGCUAACUUCGUG